rnacentral:pre_miRNA from 1 species
AGCCACUGACUAACGCACAUUGUGCUGCGGGACCCACUGUGCGUGUGACAGCGGCUAC